rnacentral:rRNA from 1 species
ACGUAGGUGGCAAGCGUUGUCCGGAUUUAUUGGGCGUAAAGCGAGCGCAGGCGGUUUCUUAAGUCUGAUGUGAAAGCCCCCGGCUCAACCGGGGAGGGUCAUUGGAAACUGGGGAUCUAGAGUGCAGGAGAGGUAAGUGGAAUUCCUAGUGUAGCGGUGAAAUGCGUAGAGAUUAGGAAGAACACCAGUGGCGAAGGCGGCUCUCAGGUCUGUAACUGACGCUGAGGCUCGAAAGCGUGGGGAGCAAACA